rnacentral:lncRNA from 1 species
GGGCUCUCCAAGGGAGCCAAGGAAACAGCCCAUGUGGAUUGCUGAAGUAAUUCAACGUGACAAAGGUGUCGUUUAUGCAUUGGUGAUGAUGGAGGUAACGUGGCCUACCAAUAGCACACCACAAGAAUUCUUGUCUAUUCUAAGUGAUUUUUCAGAUGUAGUACUUGAGUAGCUGCCCAGAGAGUUACCUCCGAUGUGGAAUAUCCAGCAUGUGAUAGUUGCUCUACACUACCAAAUCUACCAGCAUACAGAUUAAAUUCAAAGAAGCAUGCAGAGCUACAUCGACAGAUGAGCCCAAUUGUCAAUAUUGAAGAUUUGCAAGUACAUGAGGGCCAUUAUGUGGAGCAUACUAUGAAGCCAUUAGU